GACAGAGGUCCCGAGCGUUGUUCGGAUUCAUUGGGCGUAAAGGGUGUGUAGGAGGUUGGGUAAGUCAGGUGUGAAAUCUCGGAGCUUAACUCUGAAACUGCGCUUGAUACUGCUCAGCUAGAGGAUCGGAGGGGGUAACGGAAUUUAUGGUGUAGCAGUGAAAUGCGUAGAUAUCAUAAGGAACACCGGUGGCGAAGGCGGUUACCUGGAAGAUUCCUGACUCUGAGACACGAAAGCCAGGGGAGCAAACGGG
rnacentral:rRNA from 1 species